UUUAUACUUCAUCCGUCCCAAAAUUCUUGCCUUACAUUUCUCUAUAUAUGAAUGUAUCUAGUCAUAUUUUAAUAUUCAGAUACAACCAUUUUUAGACAAAUCUAAGACAAAAUUUUCGAAACGAAGGGAGUACUAU
rfam:Hordeum vulgare subsp. vulgare, WGS project CAJW01000000 data, contig: morex_contig_42721